rnacentral:rRNA from 1 species
GAUGAACGCUGGCGGCGUGCCUAAUACAUGCAAGUCGAGCGAACAGACGAGGAGCUUGCUCCUCCGACGUUAGCGGCGGACGGGUGAGUAACACGUGGAUAACCUACCUAUAAGACUGGGAUAACUUCGGGAAACCGGAGCUAAUACCGGAUAAUAUAUUGAACCGCAUGGUUCAAUAGUGAAAGACGGUUUUGCUGUCACUUAUAGAUGGAUCCGCGCCGCAUUAGCUAGUUGGUAAGGUAACGGCUUACCAAGGCAACGAUGCGUAGCCGACCUGAGAGGGUGAUCGGCCACACUGGAACUGAGACACGGUCCAGACUCCUACGGGAGGCAGCAGUAGGGAAUCUUCCGCAAUGGGCGAAAGCCUGACGGAGCAACGCCGCGUGAGUGAUGAAGGUCUUCGGAUCGUAAAACCCUGUUAUUAGGGAAGAACAAAUGUGUAAGUAACUAUGCACGUCUUGACGGUACCUAAUCAGAAAGCCACGGCUAACUACGUG